ensembl:lncRNA
UGGCCGCUACUGUAAUGGGCGGAGCCUUAAUGUAAGGUAUGGAAUGGAAUCUCCAUGAAGAGCAUGUUCAGGUGUACUAAGUUAAAUUUUCAUAGAAUUAGGGGUUCAAAAGUUAUUAACGUUUGAAUGUUGAAAUUUUGGACUGCUGGUGGCGCUAUAGAGUUGUGCCUAGAGACCCCAAAGUUGGUCAGAUCACUAAUAAUGGCCAUCUCUACAAGUGUGCCAAAUUUCAUCAUUUUCCCAUGUUCCCUUCAUAGGGCUGCC